GCCCGGCUAGCUCAAUCGGUAGAGCGUGAGACUCUUAGUAAUCUCACGAUUUCUGAAAUCUCAAGGUUGUGGGGUACGUUUACAUGCUUCGGGUCACACAUUCGAAUCUUGCACUGACAUUCGAUAUAGUUCGACCCCCACGUCGGGCU